AGGGUAGGAUGAGAACAUUUCAUAAGUUCUUUAAAUCUCUCCUAUGAUUCAUAAAUAGAUUCAUCAUCAAAUUUGAGAAAAGAUGUUAUAUCAUUCAUAAGUUU